AUACUUUGGCAACAUCAUCUUUAUUAUCACCUUUCAGAAAAAAAAAAAAAAUCAAGUAUUCUUCCCUCAUAAAUAUAACUCACUACCUCUCUCAUCUUUCUGACGUGUCUAUGCUUCUAUAGUUUUGAUGUUAGGUGUGAGCUUCUACUGGUUUUUGCUCUAGUGCUUUGCAGCGGCUUAUGAUGGUUGGUCUGGGACUAUUAUAAAUAUGUAAUAUGCACUUCUUGUGCUUCUUUAUUUAAUAUAUUUGGCUUUUUCAAAAAAAAAAAAAACAAAUUAAACACAGUGGCAGCAGAAGAACAAGGAGCGGAGAAGGUGAAGCUUGACGGCGGCUCACCGAAGCUUACAGCGGCUGGAGCUCCUCCUGCACGGUGGUCGGAGGCAAAAUUCGUAGAUCUAAAAAAGAAACUUCGAAAAUCUUGUGGUUAAACAACAAAAUCAACACAAAGCAGUAGAACAAGAUAGGAUUCGGAAUCAGAGGGAUAUUAUCAACCUUCUGGAGUAAAAGAAAUGAAAGAUGGCCUCGGUUUAAAGCUCAGUCACGGCGGUUUAUCACCUCCGGCGCGGUGGCUCUGGUUUUCCGGUGAGAGUUUCUGGCGAAAUGACAAAUUCAGUGUUCUUGAGACUCAAUUUGGGCCUUAAAGGUUCUGAAUUUUCAUGAAGGUUAGAACAAAACAUGUAAAAAACAAAUUCAACUAAUACUUGAUCAUACAUUAAACAACUAAUACUGAAUUUAUAUAGAAAAACUAAAUGGUUUGUAAACCAUGAAAUCAGUAAUAAUGGCAGCAAAACAAACCAUUGUAGCUCCUAUAGAAACAAGUAGAAAAACAGCACUGAACAUCUUGAGAAAGAUCCAUUUCUUACACCAUUGGUGUUUUGGUUUUUAAAUAUGUAUUUUCCUUAGGAAAUCUACAUUGUUGAGGAGAAAAUCAAAAAAUGGGGUAAGAAAUGGAUCUUUCUCAAGAUGGUCAGUGCUGUUUUUCUACUUGUUUCUAUAGCAGCUACAAUGACUUGUUUUGCUGCCAUUAUUACUGAUUUCAUGGUUCACAAACCAUUUAAUUUUUCUAUAUAAAUUCAAGUAUUAGUUGUUUAAUGUAUGAUUAAGUAGUUUCUCAUUUGGUAUGAGGUAUCUCUGUAUGAUUAUUAUUGUAAUGGUGUAUGAAGUUGGUUGUAUAAUUAAGCAGUUUAUUGUGGUUUGAAACAAUAUCUGAAUGUAAUUUCAGGCCUGUGUGGCUGCAAUUCUAAUGGAAUUUAUAGUUUGGCUUGUUGAUAUAAAUGUUGCUUUUGUUUUUUUU